CAAACAUGCUAUUAACAUUCAUACUAAUAUAGCAAUACUAGCUAUAAUUGCACUUCAUGAAUGUUUUGUCUGUAGAAAUCUAAUGUAUUCACAAUGAACAAUUUCCAAUUAUUGUUUUUUUUUCUUAUAGAAAGUCCAAAACCCCUGGUGAAAGUUUCAAUUAUCUUGAGGUGUACAUCUGAACCAUCCACAAGACCAUCAUUUUUUUUCUAUAGUAGGAAAUUUGCAGCUGCUCAAGUACUAUGAAAUGUGACAUAUUUGACUUUCACCUCUCCACUUUUGAACCUUCCAAAAAUAUCUGCAAAAAAGAAAUGUUUUAAGCCCCUCCCCACCCCACCUACCCCCCCUUUUUUUUUUAACUCUCUACCUGAAGCAGGAGAAAUAUUAGGAAAUUUACCCUCACUCUCAACAGCUCUCACACAAGCCUUCAAGAAGCUACAUUUAUAAGAGAAGCAUGAACUGAGCACUGGAGAGCUGCAGAGGUCACGGUGUAUGACAGUCAACUUUAUACAUUCACACUUCAGGCAUCUUAUUCUAACUAACUGCAUAAGCCUGAUUGGUUCCUUAGAAAACAUGGCACCGACUUUAAGUGAGACAUUUCUAUUUUAGUGUAGCCAGACUACAUGGGAGUCUGUUCCUCUACCAUUUAGUGAUAUAGAUACUUUCAGUAUUAUUGCUAACUGACUCUUGAGGUAUAAGAGCCUUAAUUAUGUUGGUUUAAUAUUUUAUGCUUAAAUAUUGUUAUUUAUAAACUAACAGUGGGAAAUGCUACAACUUCCCCGUGUUUUUUAUUUCAAUGCUAUAAUAAAAUAUGAUAUUGUUGAUUGAGGGUUACAUUUUAUUAAUGAUACCUGUAAUUAGGAUUAUGAUUUAAAAUAUUUAGUCUUUAUCUACACAUUACAGGAGUGAGCAAUCUUUAAAGACCUCUCUUCCCAACCACCACCUUUUUCUAAUUUGAACCCAUAACUUUAGCAACCACAAAGACAGGGACUAAGGUGUAAUAUCAUAUCUGGGUAUAACUCGCACACAAACAUACAAAUUACCUUGUUCAUCAAGGGCUAUGCCUACAAAACCCUCCAUGACAUCACAGUAUUUAGCAUUCUACAUAGACAAAAAUAAUGUGACAUUUAUUUGCAAGUUAUUAAGAAAAAUGUGUAAACUAUAUGCCACUAACACUUCUAUUUCUCAUAUUUUUUCCUCAGUGAGAGAAAAAAAAGAUUCAUGCUCAGAGCAAUUUGUUUCAUAGGAUGAGCGGUACCUUUCUCAAGAUCCCAUUCCUGCUGUUUCUGAGCCUCUUUGCCUUGAGGGCCCUUCUGUACCAGUGAGCCUCCAGCUUUAUGAAUACAGAAACUUCGUCUGGGUCAUUGAUUCAUCCCUGGAACCUAUAAGUGAUGCCAAGAAUAUAGUAUCAGCUCACUGACUACUUUUUAGGAUAGUUGGUUCUCUUCCUUCUCAGUUGUUUCUCCCGACAAAAGUUCCCAGCCUCUAGCAUCAGAGCAGCCUUUGCUGGAGUCAUAGAAGCCAUCACUAGAGAAUACACCAAAUGUAUUCAAUUUGAAGGCAUCAUCACCUCCCUCGGCCAAUCACAGGAUUCCCAGAAAGUGUUGAAUAGCAGUGAUGAAAAGCAGGCUGUCUCAUUCCUGAUGUCAAAGAGAAAGCUUUCAGUAUUUCACCAAUAUGUAUGAAGCUGCUAUAGGGUUUUGUUUUUUUGAGAUGGAGUCUUGCUCUAUCACCCAGGCUGGAGUGCAGUGGCGCAAUCUCAGCUGACUGCAGCCCCCACCUCCCAAGUUCAAGUGAUUCUCCUGCCUCAGCCUCCUGAGUAGCUGGGACCAUAGGCAUGCGCCACCACACCCAGCUAAUUUUUUGUUUUCUGAAGACAUAUAUUUUCAGAUUAAAGAAGUUACCUCUAUUCCUAAGUUUUCUUAAUAAUCAUUGGAUCUUGUCAAGUGUUUGUUCUGUAUCUUCUAAGAUAAUCAUAUUUUUUCUUUAUUCUUUCAUGUUAUAAGUUACCUUAAUAUUAAAGCAACUUUGGUGUAAAAGUAACUUGAUUGAGAUAUAUGUAUAUUGUUUUAUAAAUCAAUAGAUUUAAUUUGCAAAUGUUUUAUUUAGAAUUUUUGCAUCUUAGUUCACAGAAAGAUUGAGUAUACUUUCUUACAAUGUCUUUGUUACGUUUGGGUAUGAAGGUUAUGUUGGCCUUAUAAAACACGUUAAGCAGAAUUACUCUUUUUCUACUCUCUGGGAUAAUUUAAGAAUGAUGCUUUUUUAAAUGAAGGUUUGAGCAUCUAGGCUUAGCGAUUUCCAUUUGGGAAGAUAUUCAACUUAUUUUAAUGGUUAUAAGACUACUCAGAUUUUCCAUAUCUUGUUGUAUUAUUCUUGCUAAGCUUUUAUUUUCUAGCACUUUGUCCAUUUUAUCUACCUCUUCAAAAUUAUUCACAUAAAGUUCUUUGUAAUAUCCUCCUAUUUUCUUACUAAUUUUGUAGAAUCUGCAGUGAUGUCCCCUUUUUCAUUUCUGAUAGUAGUAAUUUUGUGCCUUCACUCUUUUUCUUUCCCCAAUCAGUCUUGCUAGAAGCUUAUCAAUUUGUUAAUCUUUCCAAAUAACCAAAUUUGGCAUUUUUUAUUCUAUUGUAUGUUUGUUUUUUACUCCUUUAAUUUCUGUUUUCAUCUUCAUUUUUUCCUUUUUUUUUUUUUUACAUUCUCUGGGCCCAAUUUUCUGUAGCAUUUCUAAUUUCUUUAAAAUGACACUUUGAUCAUGACUUUUUCAGUGAAAUAAUAUAAGCAUUUUAAGGCUAAAAAUUUUCCUUUCUGCAUGGUUUUAGUUAUAUUCUACAAUAAGUUGUGCUGUAUCGUAUUUUCAUUAUCAUUCAGCUGAAAAUAUUUUCUAGUUUUCAUUGUACUGUCCUCUUUGACCUUUGUGUAAUUAGUAGUGUAUUUCCAAACCUUUGGGCAUUUUAUUGUUAUUGCUCUGUUGUUAUUUAGCUUAACUGCACUGAGGCCUAAGAACAUAUCUGUACAAUUUUUAUCUUGUAAAAUGUGUCAAGAAAUGCUAUAUGGUUCUGCAUAUGUGCAAUAUUGAUGAUGUUCCAUGCUCUGCAGUUGCUGGUUACAGUAUUCUAUCUGUGG
rnacentral:lncRNA from 1 species